GUCUGGAAUUGUUCAAGCUGGCUUUGGGCAUUGUAUGUGUCUCCAACUCCUGUGAUACUGCAUAGUCUGUGUUUAAAUAGCAGAUUUAAAAUAAACAAUGAUAGCUUAGUGAAUUAAAGAUGAAAACUCAAAGCCCAAAUUAUUUUAAUUGUUACCCCAUGAGACCCCUUGGAGAUUUGGGGCUUGAAAUUUAAAACAGUAACUCCAAAACAUAACACUUUUGCGCAGUAAAUGCAAAUAUUAGUUCUCAAAUGAAAUAUUUUACUGAAUUUUGAAUAACAUGCUUAAAAUAGAACUUUCUUCUUUUUCAGUUAAUUGUUUAACACCUAAAGAUAACAAAUACAUCAAAAAAUAAUGGUCAUUACUCAUACAACAUGAGUAUAACUGACACUAAUUUUAUACUAUGGACAAGGAAGUGUUAAAAAAUGAUAUCCUGCAAGCAUCAAAUAUACUGGGUCCUCUCUGAGGUGUACGUCAGAUUCCUGAGAGUUGGAGGAAUAAUGCUCGUGGUUAAUACUAUUUUCACUGGGAGAGAGUAAGAUGUGUUCAACAUUGGUCCCGUGGCACUCUUGCCAACAUUAGUGCAAAUAUUAUGCCUAAAACAAAUAAAAUGCACAAACAAUAACAACAAAUCAUAGCUUCUGGUUAACGCAAAGAAUUAAAUGUAAAAUUGAUGAUAGUAGCUAGCAAAAUAUUGGCUGGAAGAAGUUACUUAUUUACUUGGAUUCUGGUUUGUAACUAUCAUCCCUAGGUUUGCACUUUAAUGCAGAGUUCCCUUUCCUGGGUGCCACCUCUCGCCCAGGCCCAGUAUGACACACAUGCAGGCCUCAAAAGGUAGGCAGCACAUUCACUUGGCUCAAAUAUCAGAAGAUAUAAAAAAAACAAAGCAUCCAAGGAAGAAUCUCCCUUCUACCCUGUCUCGCCCACACCCCUGCACCCACUAGCCCUGUGUCCCACUCCUGAUAGACACUGUUGUGGUUACCUGUUAUACUUCCAGUUUGGGUAUCCACGAAAAUACAAGCAAAUGCAAUGCAUAUUGAAGCCCAGCUUUUUUACAAAAACAUGGUGGCAUUCUCUACUGCACUUUUAACUUAAUCCUGCACUUUUAAU
rnacentral:lncRNA from 12 species